rnacentral:rRNA from 1 species
UACGAAGGGGGCUAGCGUUGCUCGGAAUUACUGGGCGUAAAGCGCACGUAGGCGGUCUUUUAAGUCGGGGGUGAAAUCCUGGAGCUCAACUCCAGAACUGCCUUCGAUACUGGAAGACUUGAGUCCGGGAGAGGUGAGUGGAACUGCGAGUGUAGAGGUGAAAUUCGUAGAUAUUCACAAGAACACCAGUGGCGAAGGCGGCUCACUGGCCCGGUACUGACGCUGAGGUGCGAAAGCGUGGGGAGCAAACAGG